GUCUCUAUAGCUCAAUGGUAGAGCACAGUACUGUUAAUACUGCUUAUGGGUGUUCGAAUCACUCUGGAGACG
rnacentral:tRNA from 6 species